rnacentral:lncRNA from 1 species
UUUCAUGCCAAAAAAAAUAGUGCACAUAAAUUGCAUUCGCUUCUACGCAAACAACAACUACUAAUGUUUAAACUAUGUAUGGUGUCUCGUAGUGAGGACCAAAUAGUACUAUCCAGAUGAAAAAUAAGUAAUUUCUUAUACGAAUAGACAAGUGAACUCAAUCAUCUAUUUACUCAUCACACAAUCUUCACCAAACAAGUAAACCAUUCUUUCUGAUCUCCAUGGAUCUUCUUCAAACUCUAAUUCUUGUUUUUUAUUCUGCAAAAGCUUGGCUCUGCAAAUGGGGCAUGUUUGAUGGCCUUGAUCGAUCCAACAGUCCAGGCACUCACUGUGGAACACAUGCACACAAUUCCCAAGUUCCCUCACCUUGUCACAACUCUCUAUGUUAUCCAAACACACUGCACAACAGGGAUCAAGAUCUCGUUUUUGGGUUCCGACCUGCGAUAUAAAAUUUCUGUAUUCAUCAAUCUUGAGUUGCUUCUUGAUUGUUGUGUUUGUAAUGUAAAAAGGGAGUGAUACUAAUGAAGCAGAUGGACGGUAUUCAAUCGAAGGAUCAGGGUUUUUGCUGAUAUUUUGUGUAUAGAGUGGAGAAAAUAGUCCUUUAAUGGUCCGUUUGAUAUGGCUAACUAUGUAAUCAUGGAGGGAUUUUAUGAAAGAAGAUUCCAUG